UGCAGUCGAGCGGAACUGUGGAGCUUGCUCCAUUGUCUUAGCGGCGGACGGGUGAGUAACACGUGGGCAACCUGCCCUGCAGAUCGGGAUAACUCCGGGAAACCGGUGCUAAUACCGAAUAGUUUUUUGCCCCUCCUGGGGCGAAACGGAAAGACGGUUUCGGCUGUCACUGCAGGAUGGGCCCGCGGCGCAUUAGCUAGUUGGUGGGGUAAUGGCCCACCAAGGCGACGAUGCGUAGCCGACCUGAGAGGGUGAUCGGCCACACUGGGACUGAGACACGGCCCAGACUCCUACGGGAGGCAGCAGUAGGGAAUCUUCCGCAAUGGACGCAAGUCUGACGGAGCAACGCCGCGUGAGUGACGAAGGUUUUCGGAUCGUAAAACUCUGUUGUGAGGGAAGAACAAGUACCAACUAACUACUGGUACCUUGACGGUACCUCACCAGAAAGCCACGGCUAACUACGUGCCAGCAGCCGCGGUAAUACGUAGGUGGCAAGCGUUGUCCGGAAUUAUUGGGCGUAAAGCGCGCGCAGGCGGUCCCUUAAGUCUGAUGUGAAAGGCCACGGCUCAGCCGUGGAGGGUCAUUGUAUACUGGCGGACUUGAGUGCACGAAA
rnacentral:rRNA from 1 species